GGGCCUGUUCUGAGCUAUGCGCUUGGGGGGCCACCAGCUGUUCCGGCAGCUCCCCCGGGCGUAUGCUUUAGCGGAUGCGUGGCGGCCCUCGGGGCCCCGUGCCGCCCGCCUUUGCUGCAGACACCUCGGUGGGGCUGCAGCGGGUCGGACGGGUUGCUGGCCGCUGCUGCUCUCGACAGCACGCAGCGCGCCUCGCGGGAACGAGCCUCGGCGGCCGACGCGCACAGCUGCAUCCUUGCUAUUACGAGUACCUACCGUUCUCCUUCGGCGGGGCGACCUGCCGUUGGAACCAACACGCACCCUUCUUUUGCAUCUAGCAUUACCUGUUCCGACGCAAACAAUCGUUACAACUUUCAACAAUGGAUCUCUUGGCUCUGGCAUCGAUGAAGAACGCAGCGAAAUGCGAUAAGUAGUGUGAAUUGCAGAAUUCAGUGAAUCAUCGAAUCUUUGAACGCACAUUGCGCCCCUCGGUAUUCCGUGGGGCAUGCCUGUUCGAGCGUCAUCUACACCCUCAAGCUCUGCUUGGUGUUGGGCGUCUGUCCCGCCUUCGCGCGCGGACUCGCCCCAAAUGCAUUGGCAGCGGUCCUUGCCCCCUCCCGCGCAGCACAUUGCGCUUCUCGAGGCUGCGGCGGCCCGCGUCCAACAAGCUGAACCCCCCCCGUCUUUGACCUCGGAUCAGGUAGGGAUACCCGCUGAACUUAAGCAUAUCAAUAAGCGGAGGAA
rnacentral:rRNA from 1 species